UUUUACUUGAUAAAUUAAACAAUAAGUAGAUUGACAUGAAAAUAGAAGUGGAAAUUCCCUCCGUGGAAUUUUUAAAAGAGCUAAAAGUGCACCAGCUUCCUUUUGAAAUUGAACAUAACGGCCAAGCUAACGUUAAGCAGUUUUUCAUAGAAUCAGAAAUAGACGGGAUUUUAUAUGCUCAUUUUCGAGGACGUCGCCUUUUCGGUAAACGGGUAAACCUUCCUGAAGGCUUUGAAGGAGUUUUGUUGAAAGAAAUCAGCCAGAAUUCUGUUAAAGAUGGGCGACAUAAUUUAAUUAUUGCUGCUAAAUUUCAUUCUUUUAAAGUAUGGCAUCAGGAAGAAAUUUCUGAAGAAGAAAUGAAUAUAAGUAAAGCGCUUCAGUGGAUUGAGAUGGCU